AUAGUCUUUGCUUAUGACACUGCAAAGACCUGGGGACAGUGGGCAGAGAUGGCCUUGAGGAGUUCUGGUGUCCACUUCCCAGCUGGAUGGAUGAGCAGAGGAAGGAGCCGGGAGGAGGUGUUCCUCAAAGUGACACACCAGAGAAGCCAUGAGGAGCCGCAAGUGGACGCUGACAUUGGAACUGGCAAGGGCACUGGGCCAAGAAAAGCUGCUCCUCCUCACAUUCACUGGAUCCCAUCUCCAGAUCCAAAGGACUUGGUGGCGGGUCAUCCUUCCCUGCACACUCCAGCUGGCCAGUUAUCAGAGAGAGCUUUCAGUCUUCCUACCUGGAAUUGUCAUGCGCCCA